GCAUCGAAGCAGUAGCAGAGUGGUAGUGGUCUUUUGGUGCAAGUGACUAGUCGUGGGUUCGAAUCCCCCUCGGUGCA
rnacentral:tRNA from 1 species